UGCCCAGCAACUCCUAUCCCUACCUCCUCGCGGUACCUGCCGGGGCACGAGUAACCUUUGGGAAGAUCGGGUAAUCAACCACCGGUGGGAACUUUGGUCGUAUGCUGACAGGGAAGG
rnacentral:ribozyme from 1 species